UACGGAGGGGGGCUAGCGUUGUUCGGAAUUACUGGGCGUAAAGCGCGCGUAGGCGGACCUGCAAGUCGGGGGUGAAAGCCCGAGGCUCAACCCUCGGAACUGCCUUCGAUACUGCGGGUCUCGAGUCCGGGAGAGGUGAGUGGAAUUCCUAGUGUAGAGGUGAAAUUCGUAGAUAUUAGGAAGAACACCAGUGGCGAAGGCGGCUCACUGGCUCGGUACUGACGCUGAGGCGCGAAAGCGUGGGGAGCAAACAGG
rnacentral:rRNA from 1 species